rnacentral:rRNA from 1 species
CGCGGCCUAUCAGCUUGUUGGUGGGGUAACGGCCUACCAAGGCUUCGACGGGUAGCUGGUCUGAGAGGAUGGUCAGCCACACUGGGACUGAGACACGGCCCAGACUCCUACGGGAGGCAGCAGUUAGGAAUCUUGCGCAAUGGACGAGAGUCUGACGCAGCAACGCCGCGUGAGGGAUGAAGGCUCUCGGGUUGUAAACCUCUUUCAGCAGGAACGAAAAUGACGGUACCUGCAGAAGAAGCUCCGGCCAACUACGUGCCAGCAGCCGCGGUAAUACGUAGGGAGCAAGCGUUGUCCGGAUUUAUUGGGCGUAAAGAGCUCGUAGGCGGUUUAGAAAGUCAGGUGUGAAAACUCUGGGCUCAACCCAGAGACGCCACUUGAUACUUCUAUGACUUGAGUUCGGUAGGGGUGAGUGGAAUUCCUGGUGUAGCGGUGAAAUGCGCAGAUAUCAGGAGGAACACCGAUGGCGAAGGCAGCUCACUGGGCCGAUACUGACGCUGAGGAGCGAAAGCGUGGGGAGCGAACAGGAUUAGAUACCCUGGUAGUCCACGCCGUAAACGUUGGGAACUAGGUGUGGGAGAUAUUCAACGUCUUCCGUGCCGUAGCUAACGCAUUAAGUUCCCCGCCUGGGGAGUACGG